rnacentral:rRNA from 1 species
CCUACGGGGUGCAGCAGUGGGGAAUAUUGCACAAUGGGGGAAACCCUGAUGCAGCAACGCCGCGUGAAGGAAGACGGUUUUCGGAUUGUAAACUUCUGUUCUUAGUGAAGAAUAAUGACGGUAGCUAAGGAGCAAGCCACGGCUAACUACGUGCCAGCAGCCGCGGUAAUACGUAGGUGGCAAGCGUUGUCCGGAAUUACUGGGUGUAAAGGGAGCGCAGGCGGGAAGCCAAGUCAGCUGUGAAAACUACGGGCUUAACUUGUAGACUGCAGUUGAAACUGGUUUUCUUGAGUGAAGUAGAGGUAGGCGGAAUGCCGGGUGUAGCGGUGAAAUGCGUAGAUAUUCGGAGGAACACCGGUGGCGAAGGCGGCCAACUGGGCUUUAACUGACGCUGAGGCUCGAAAGUGUGGGGAGCGAACAGGAUUAGAUACCCGAGUAGUC